UCCGUGAUAGUUUAAUGGUCGNUGGGCGCUUGUCGCGUGCCAGAUCGGGGUUCAAUUCCCCGUCGCGGAG
rnacentral:tRNA from 1 species